GAUGAACGCUGGCGGCGUGCCUAAUACAUGCCAGUCGAGCGAACAGACGAGGAGCUUGCUCCUUUGACGUUAGCGGCGGACGGGUGAGUAACACGUGGAUAACCUACCUAUAAGACUGGGAUAACUUCGGGAAACCGGAGCUAAUACCGGAUAACAUGUUGAACCGCAUGGUUCAACAGUGAAAGACGGUCUUGCUGUCACUUAUAGAUGGAUCCGCGCCGCAUUAGCUAGUUGGUAAGGUAACGGCUUACCAAGGCAACGAUGCGUAGCCGACCUGAGAGGGUGAUCGGCCACACUGGAGCUGAGACACGGUCCAGACUCCUACGGGAGGCAGCAGUAGGGAAUCUUCCGCAAUGGGCGAAAGCCUGACGGAGCAACGCCGCGUGAGUGAAGAAGGUCUUCGGAUCGUAAAACUCUGUUAUUAGGGAAGAACAAAUGUGUAAGUAACUAUGCACGUCUGGACGGUACCUAAGCAGAAAGCCACGGCUAACUACGU
rnacentral:rRNA from 1 species